AUUGAACGCUGGCGGCAGGCCUAACACAUGCAAGUCGAGCGGAUGAAGGGAGCUUGCUCCUGGAUUCAGCGGCGGACGGGUGAGUAAUGCCUAGGAAUCUGCCUGGUAGUGGGGGAUAACGUCCGGAAACGGGCGCUAAUACCUCAUACGUCCUGAGGGAGAAAGUGGGGGAUCUUCGGACCUCACGCUAUCAGAUGAGCCUAGGUCGGAUUAGCUAGUUGGUGGGGUAAAGGCCUACCAAGGCGACGAUCCGUAACUGGUCUGAGUGGAUGAUCAGUCACACUGGAACUGAGACACGGUCCAGACUCCUACGGGAGGCAGCAGUGGGGAAUAUUGGACAAUGGGCGAAAGCCUGAUCCAGCCAUGCCGCGUGUGUGAAGAAGGUCUUCGGAUUGUAAAGCACUUUAAGUUGGGAGGAAGGGCAGUAAGUUAAUACCUUGCUGUUUUGACGUUACCAACAGAAUAAGCACCGGCUAACUUCGUG
rnacentral:rRNA from 1 species